rnacentral:snRNA from 1 species
CUUCACAAAAUUCAUCGCGGAAAA